GGACCCCACUGCUAUCGGGAUGGGACUAAGACAUGCUAGUUGUGCGUCUCUAAGCCAUGGUGAGACGCAGCGCACAGCUCAGUAACACGUGGCUAACCUGCCCUUGGGACGGGGACAACCUCGGGAAACUGUGGCUAAUCCCCGAUGGAUGAAGACUCCUGGAAUGGGCCUUCGUUGAAAGGGCGUCUGGAGCAUGCUUCUAGGCGUUGCCCAAGGAUGGAGCCGCGGCCGAUCAGGUUGUUGGUGAGGUAACGGCUCACCAAGCCUUUAACCGGUACGGGCCGUGGAAGCGGUAGCCCGGAGAUGGGCACUGAGAUAAGGGCCCAGGCCCUACGGGGCGCAGCAGUCGCGCAAACUCCGCAAUGCACGAAAGUGUGACGGGGCUAUCCCGAGUGCCGUCCGCUGAGGAUGGCUUUUCCACGCUGUAAGGAGGCGUGGGAAUAAGAAGAGGGCAAGACUGGUGUCAGCCGCCGCGGUAAUACCAGCUCUCCGAGUGGCGGGGAUGCUUAUUGGGACUAAAGCAUUCGUAGCCGGUUCGGCAAGUCCUCCGUUAAAUCCAGCGAUUCAAUCAUUGGACUGCGGGGGAUACUGCUGGGCUAGGGGGCGGGAGAGGCCGACGGUAUCCUCGGGGUAGGGGUGAAAUCCUAUAAUCCCGGGUAGACCACCAGUGGCGAAGGCUGUCGGCUAGAACGCGCCCGACGGUGAGGGAUGAAAGCUGGGGGAGCGAACCGGAUUAGAUACCCGGGUAGUCCCAGCUGUAAACGAUGCAGGCUAGGUGUUGGAGCGGCUACGAGCCGCUUCGGUGCCGCAGGGAAACCGUUAAGCCUGCCGCCUGGGGAGUACGGCCGCAAGGCUGAAACUUAA
rnacentral:rRNA from 1 species